rnacentral:rRNA from 1 species
AGAGUUUGAUCCUGGCUCAGAUUGAACGCUGGCGGCAUGCCUAACACAUGCAAGUCGAACGCGAAAGCACUUCGGUGCGAGUAGAGUGGCGGACGGGUGAGUAACGCGUGGGAACCUACCUGGUAGUGGGGGAUAACUCGGAGAAAUCCGGGCUAAUACCGCAUACGCCCUAAGGGGGAAAGAUUUAUCGCUAUCAGAUGGGCCCGCGUCGGAUUAGCUUGUUGGUGAGGUAACGGCUCACCAAGGCGACGAUCCGUAGCUGGUUUGAGAGAACGAACAGCCACACUGGGACUGAGACACGGCCCAGACUCCUACGGGAGGCAGCAGUGGGGAAUAUUGCACAAUGGGGGAAACCCUGAUGCAGCAAUGCCGCGUGUGUGAAGAAGGCCUGCGGGUUGUAAAGCACUUUCAGAUGGGAAGAUGAUGACGUUACCAUCAGAAGAAGCACCGGCUAACUCCGUGCCAGCAGCCGCGGUAAUACGGAGGGUGCGAGCGUUAAUCGGAAUUACUGGGCGUAAAGCGCGCGUAGGCGGCUCAGUCAGUCAGAUGUGAAAGCCCCGGGCUUAACCUGGGAACUGCAUUUGAUACUGCUGGGCUAGAGUCUGGUAGAGGGUAGUGGAAUUCCAGGUGUAGCGGUGAAAUGCGUAGAUAUCUGGAAGAACAUCAGUGGCGAAGGCGGCUGCCUGGACCAAGACUGACGCUGAGGUGCGAAAGCGUGGGUAGCAAACAGGAUUAGAUACCCUGGUAGUCCACGCCG